GAUGAAGAACGUAGCGAAAUGCGAUACUUGGUGUGAAUUGCAGAAUCCCGCGAAUCAUCGAGUCUUUGAACGCAAGUUGCGCCCGAAGCCAUUAGGCCGAGGGCACGCCUGCCUGGGCGUCACACGUCGUUGCCCCCCCCAUCUACUCCUUCGGGAUUGCGGGGGGCGGAUGAUGGCCUCCCGUGCGCCUCGCCGCGCGGUUGGCAUAAAUGCCAAGUCCUCGGCGAUGCACGCCACGACAAUCGGUGGUUGCGAAACCUCGGUUGCCCGUCGUGUGCGGUCGUCGCGCAUCGAGGGCUCGAAAAAAUUGCCGGGUUCCGGCUCGGCUUUCAACGCGACCCCAGGUCAGGCGGGGUUACCCGCUGAAUUUAAGCAUAUCAAUAAGCGGAGGA
rnacentral:misc_RNA from 1 species